GACGAACGCUGGCGGCGUGCUUAACACAUGCAAGUCGAACGGAAAGGCCCUGCUUUUGUGGGGUGCUCGAGUGGCGCACGGGUGAGUAACACGUGAGUAACCUGUCCUUGACUUUGGGAUAACUUCAGGAAACUGGGGCUAAUACCGGAUAGGAGCUCCUGCUGCACGGUGGGGGUUGGAAAGUUUCGGCGGUUGGGGAUGGACUCUCGGCUUAUCCGCUUGUUGGUGUGGUAGUGGCUUACCAAGGCUUUGACGGGUAGCCGGCCUGAGAGGGUGACCGGCCACAUUGGGACUGAGAGACGGCCCAGACUCCUACGGGAGGCAGCAGUGGGGAAUAUGGCACAAUGGGCGGAAGCCUGAUGCAGCAACGCCGCGUGCGGGAUGACGGCCUUCGGGUUGUAAACCGCUUUCGCCUGUGACGAAGCGUGAGUGACGGUAAUGGGUAAAGAAGCACCGGCUAACUACGUG
rnacentral:rRNA from 1 species